rnacentral:rRNA from 1 species
CCUACGGGUGGCAGCAGUGAGGAAUAUUGGUCAAUGGGCGUAAGCCUGAACCAGCAAAGUCGCGUGAGGGAUGAAGGUUCUAUGGAUGGUAAACCUCUUUUAUAAGGGAAUAACGAGUGGCACGUGUUCUAUUUUGUAUGUCCCUUAUGAAUAAGGAUCGGCUAACUCCGUGCCAGCAGCCGCGGUAAUACGGAGGAUCCGAGCGUUAUCCGGAUUGAUUGGGUUUAAAGGGUGCGUAGGCGGCCUUUUAAGUCACCGGUGAAAGUCUGUGGCUCAACCAUAGGAGUGCAGUUGAAACUGGGAGUCUUGAGUAUGUUAGAGGCAGGCGGAAUGCCUGGUGUAGCGGUGAAAUGCUUAGAUAUCACGAAGAACCCAGAUUGCGAAGGCAGCCUG